CCUUAUCUUCUUGUCAUACAAGUCUGCCCUACUUUUUACUCCGUCUAUAAAGACUUCGAGUCAUGAAGUUAUUCCGAUUCUUCAUUUUUCUGCAUCUCGCAUAACCAAAGGCAACGUAUUCUUGUUGAUAAAUAAUUUUUCGAAUCACCCGAAAAUGGAAACUUCUGACGCCAAUCAACUCGAUACAAUUAACGGAAUACGGCGGAAAUUGGAAAAGGCAGCCACAGAUCAUCAAGUCCUUGCCCAGCAGCAAGUCAUCCUGGAAAACCUGCUGAAAUCAAAUGAAGCCAAAUUGCAAGCCACCCUCCAAGAAAACGUUUCCCUACACUGCAAGAAAUAUCCUCACCGGAUUUACACCGCGCGGAGAGAUUAUGCGGCUACACCGUUUUGGUGUGAAAUCCUCCCCGUUGGUGUAAAUAAGAUUUAGCACCAACACGGUGAGAAUUCAUCCCCAUUCCAUAAUAUCGUUAACACGGUGAUGGUGAUGACCAUUGACACUGAUAAAUUAUCGAUUUUACACUGUUUGGUGAGAUUUAGGAAGCAACUCUGGUGAGGUUUAAAUAAAAAUCGCAUUAAUUAAAAUAAUUUGUGCUGCAUAUUUUUUUAUUGAAAAAACUAAAAAAAUAUUAUAAUAAAUAUUACAUAUGAGGUUCAAUACAAACUAGCUAUAAGUGAUGUCUACAAAUAACAUACAUACCAUCUAAUUUACAAUUAUUUUGAAUUUCCAUAGCGUCAUGAAUUACUAAACUACUGAUGUUAAUUAAUUUAAAGCGGUCCUGUACGGGAGAUAAUUUAUAAGCAAACAAAUUUCGAUAAAAAUAUUUUACUUCUAGUUCCUGAAGCAGUAUUAAACAACAAUUAUCUUCUAAAACAAUAAAUUCAGAAAUUAUGCCGAA